GCAACCCUCGUUCUUAGUUGCCAACAGUAAGAUGGGAACUCUAAGAAGACUGCCGGUGAUAACCGGAGGAAGUGGGGAUGACGUCAAGUCAGCAUGCCCCUUAGUCCUGGGCGACACACGUACUACAAUGGGUAAGACAAAGGGUAGCCAAGUCGCGAGGCCGAGCCAAUCCCAUAAACUUAUCCUCAGUUCAGAUUGCAGGCUGCAACUCGCCUGCAUGAAGGAGGAAUCGCUAGUAAUCGCAGGUCAGCAUACUGCGGUGAAUCCGUUCCCGGGCCUU
rnacentral:rRNA from 1 species